CCUACGGGAGGCAGCAGUGAGGAAUAUUGGACAAUGGUCGAAAGACUGAUCCAGCCAUGCCGCGUGCAGGAAGACGGCCCUAUGGGUUGUAAACUGCUUUUGUUUGGGAAGAAACCUUUCUACGUGUAGAAAGCUGACGGUACCAUACGAAUAAGCACCGGCUAACUCCGUGCCAGCAGCCGCGGUAAUACGGAGGGUGCAAGCGUUAUCCGGAUUUAUUGGGUUUAAAGGGCCCGUAGGCGGACUUAUAAGUCAGUGGUGAAAUCCUGCAGCUCAACUGUAGAACUGCCAUUGAUACUGUAAGUCUUGAAUUCGGUUGAAGUGGGCGGAAUAUGGCAUGUAGCGGUGAAAUGCUUAGAUAUGCCAUAGAACACCGAUUGCGUAGGCAGCUCACUAAGCCCGGAUUGACGCUGAGGGACGAAAGCGUGGGUAGCGAACAGGAUUAGAUACCCUGGUAGUCCACGCCGUAAACGAUGAUUACUCGACAUUAGCGAUACACGUAGUGUNAUAAGACGAAGACAUUAAGUUAAUACCACCUACGGGAGGUACGGUUACGUCGAAGAAGUAGAAACGUACGAAAGAAAGUUAGUACGGACGUGAGACGUAGACCGACGGACGACGACGAGGGAGGAGGG
rnacentral:rRNA from 1 species